CUCUAUCCCCUUCUGGAUUUGAACCUGUGACUUCUUAAGAGGUCACAGGUUCAAAUCCAGAGGGGGGUAGGGU
rnacentral:pre_miRNA from 9 species